UAAUAAGUAUCCAGGGUAUUCC
rnacentral:siRNA from 1 species